rnacentral:rRNA from 1 species
UGGGGAAUCUUGGACAAUGGGCGAAAGCCUGGUCCAGCCAUGCCGCGUGAGUGAAGAAGGCCCUAGGGUUGUAAAGCUCUUUCAGCGGGGAAGAUAAUGACGGUACCCGCAGAAGAAGCCCCGGCUAACUUCGUGCCAGCAGCCGCGGUAAUACGAAGGGGGCUAGCGUUGUUCGGAAUUACUGGGCGUAAAGCGCGCGUAGGCGGAUUGUUAAGUCAGGGGUGAAAUCCCGAGGCUCAACCUCGGAACUGCCUCUGAUACUGGCAAUCUCGAGUCCGGAAGAGGUUGGUGGAAUUCCGAGUGUAGAGGUGAAAUUCGUAGAUAUUCGGAGGAACACCAGAGGCGAAGGCGGCUCACUGGCCCGGUACUGACGCUCAGGUGCGAAAGCGUGGGGAGCAAACAGGAUUAGAAACCCCUGUAGUCC